GAUGAACGCUGGCGGCGUGCCUAAUACAUGCAAGUCGAGCGAACGGACGAGAAGCUUGCUUCUCUGAUGUUAGCGGCGGACGGGUGAGUAACACGUGGAUAACCUACCUAUAAGACUGGGAUAACUUCGGGAAACCGGAGCUAAUACCGGAUGAUAUUUUGAACCGCAUGGUUCAAAAGUGAAAGACGGUCUUGCUGUCACUUAUAGAUGGAUCCGCGCUGCAUUAGCUAGUUGGUAAGGUAACGGCUUACCAAGGCAACGAUGCAUAGCCGACCUGAGAGGGUGAUCGGCCACACUGGAACUGAGACACGGUCCAGGCUCCUACGGGAGGCAGCAGUAGGGAAUCUUCCGCAAUGGGCGAAAGCCUGACGGAGCAACGCCGCGUGAGUGAUGAAGGUCUUCGGAUCGUANAACUCUGUUAUUAGGGAAGAACAUAUGUGUAAGUAACUGUGCACAUCUUGACGGUACCUAAUCAGAAAGCCACGGCUAACUACGUGCCAGCAGCCGCGGUAAUACGUAGGUGGCAAGCGUUAUCCGGAAUUAUUGGGCGUAAAGCGCGCGUAGCGGUUUUUUAGUCUGAUGUGAAAGCCCACGGCUCAACCGUGGAGGGUCAUUGGAAACUGGAAAACUUGAGUGCAGAAGAGGAAAGUGGAAUUCCAUGUGUAGCGGUGAAAUGCGCAGAGAUAUGGAGGAACACCAGUGGCGAAGGCGACUUUCUGGUCUGUAACUGACGCUGAUGUGCGAAAGCGUGGGGAUCAAACAGGAUUAGAUACCCUGGUAGUCCACGCCGUAAACGAUGAGUGCUAAGUGUUAGGGGGUUUCCGCCCCUUAGUGCUGCAGCUAACGCAUUAAGCACUCCGCCUGGGGAGUACGACCGCAAGGUUGAAACUCAAAGGAAUUGACGGGGACCCGCACAAGCGGUGGAGCAUGUGGUUUAAUUCGAAGCAACGCGAAGAACCUUACCAAAUCUUGACAUCCUUUGACAACUCUAGAGAUAGAGCCUUCCCCUUCGGGGGACAAAGUGACAGGUGGUGCAUGGUUGUCGUCAGCUCGUGUCGUGAGAUGUUGGGUUAAGUCCCGCAACGAGCGCAACCCUUAAGCUUAGUUGCCAUCAUUAAGUUGGGCACUCUAAGUUGACUGCCGGUGACAAACCGGAGGAAGGUGGGGAUGACGUCAAAUCAUCAUGCCCCUUAUGAUUUGGGCUACACACGUGCUACAAUGGACAAUACAAAGGGCAGCGAAACCGCGAGGUCAAGCAAAUCCCAUAAAGUUGUUCUCAGUUCGGAUUGUAGUCUGCAACUCGACUACAUGAAGCUGGAAUCGCUAGUAAUCGUAGAUCAGCAUGCUACGGUGAAUACGUUCCCGGGUCU
rnacentral:rRNA from 1 species